GACGAACGCUGGCGGCGUGCUUAACACAUGCAAGUCGAACGGAAAGGCCCUUUCGGGGGUGCUCGAGUGGCGAACGGGUGAGUAACACGUGGGUGAUCUGCCCUGCACUUUGGGAUAAGCCUGGGAAACUGGGUCUAAUACCGAAUACACCCUGCUGGUCGCAUGGCCUGGUGGGGGAAAGCGUUUGUAGCGGUGUGGGAUGAGCCCGCGGCCUAUCAGCUUGUUGGUGGGGUGAUGGCCUACCAAGGCGACGGACGGGUAGCCGGCCUGAGAGGGUGACCGGCCACGCUGGGACUGAGAUACGGCCCAG
rnacentral:rRNA from 1 species